GCUGAGGAAUAUUCAGUGCGGUAGAAUAAUGUAAAGGCGAAAGAGAGCGGACCACAACAGUGUGUGCCUUCUUCAAAAGCAGCGUCGAGGUCCGAUAGAAGCCUCAUCGCUUCUAAAGCGUGCGACAUCUCUGGAUCGUCAUUAGACCUUGGAGGACCGACGGGAGGCGCCGCUCCAGCCGCCUUUGAGAUGCGCGCUGCGUCGGCGACAUUACGUCAAAGCCUGUGGCUUGAUGUCCAGCCAGAUACAGGGCCGUGGAGACGGCCUCCAGACGAAUGGGGCCGCCACCGAACCGACCAGCUAUCCACCAUCUCGGGUCACGUGACCGGCCGGCUAUCACCCAUCAGAGGUCACGUGACCGGUCGGCUACUAUCUCGCAUCUCCAGACGACGGAGCAGCUAGUCUGCUUUCUCGUGGUCCUGACGAUGUCCGCGGAUUCACCCGGCGCGCCACAUUCCUGUUCGGGGGGAGCCGUACAUUCCUGGCGCUUUCCGACGCAUCGAGCGAGCUUCCAGAGCACAAAGAGCUCCCGACGGCAGCCUUUUUGACAGCGGGCACCUGCGCGACGGAGACGGCGCGGUGCCACGCAUUGUGGCGCGCCCGGCGGCGAUUGUGGCGCGCCGUUUUCCCAGCGGCGCCGCGCCCCGUUUCCGCUGCUAUUAUGCCGCGGGCCGCGGCGGGGGCCUGGUCGGCUCGGUUGCACGCUGUGUGAAGUCCAGGUGAAAAACGCAAGGGAGAAGGCUCAUGCUGAAAAAGAGGCGAAUUCCGCUGUUGUGGUGGGCUUCAGUGGUGUAUGCUGGUGUGCGCCCCUGUCGUGUGGGAAGAGGUUUUGAACAAGCAUUUGGUGUGUUUUGAAAUGUCUGAGGAGCGUGGGAGACAUUAAUAUGGCGGAAAUUGCUAAUCAGUGUCCAGCUUAGGAUCAGUGAUAAUUAAUCUUGCAUUAUUUUUAUGAGCCAAUCGUGAGGUUGUUAGAAUUACAUCUGUGGAUUUAUCUGAAUGCUUGUGGUUUUGCAAAUCGCCUGGCCUGGUGGCACAAUUGAAAAACGCCAGUUUUACGCCACUUUCAUAAGUGGAUACUACUUAGUACUUACCGACCAUACAACCAAGCUCUACAAGAAAGGUUACGAAUUCAUUAUUUUACGAUGCAUUUUAACAAAUAUUCAUAACAAAUGCUCCCAACAUAGGUUUCCACAAAAAAAUAUAGCGCAGCUAUA